rnacentral:rRNA from 1 species
AACGUAGGUUCCGAGCGUUGUCCGGAUUGACUGGGCGUAAAGCGCACGCAGGCGGUGGUGCGCGUGGGGUGUGAAAUCUGGCCGCUUAACGGCCAGGCGCCAUCCCAUACGGCACGACUGGAGGGCUGCAGAGGUCGAUGGAAUUGCCGGUGUAGUGGUGAAAUGCGUAGAUAUCUGGAGGAACACCGGUGGCGAAGGCGACAUCCUGGACCGGUAUUGACGCUGAGGCGCGAAAGCCAGGGGAGCAAACGGG